GUACUUCCUGUGCCUGGCACAAAGCCUGGGUCCGCCAAGAGCUCAAAGCUGUUUCUCCCAGCUCUGGCAGAGAGUCUGGGGUAAGGGGAGGAGCCCAGGAGACCCGGGAGGAAGCCGCCUUUCCAUUAGUUUCCUCUCAUGAGCUGAGUCUUAAUUAGCAUGGAGCUGGCUAAGCAAAGGUGUGGUAUGGAGAAACAAAGAGCUGAUCAUCUCUGGUGGCCUAGAACAAACACUAUUCCUGCCUCAGUUCACUGAGGCAUGCGCUACCAUGCCAGGUUCAUGUCUUUUUACGUUCUUGUUUGAGACAGGACCCUCUACACAUCCCAGGCUGGCCUUGAACUCACUGUGCCCAAGAAUUACCCUGGACUCCUGAUCUUUCUUCCUCUGCCUCCCCUGCACUGGGAUUGCAGGCAUGUAUCACCACACUCAUUUAUGCCAUGCUGGGGAUUGAACUUUGGGCAUCUUGCACACCAGACUACCACUCUACAACUGAGCCACCCCCCCAGCCCUUGCGUCUCCAUUUCUUACAUCAUGCCUUCUUUAUUGAACCAAGGAAAACACUCCAAACUCAAAUCCAAUUCUGAGCUUAAAAAUCUGCUCUAAAAAUGUGGUAGAAGUAAUACUGGAGAGAAGAAAGGUUGAUAAGUUUUUAAUUUGUUUAUUUUGUUUUUAUGUAUGUAUGUGCAUCUCCAUCAGUUUUUAUGUGUAACCGCAUCUGUGCAGGUGCCCGCAGAGUCCAGAGGGCAUUGCAUCCCCCGGAGCUCGAGUUACAGGUAGUUGUGAGCUGCCCUGUGGGUGCUGGGUACUCAGUUAAGUGCUCUUAGACACUGCAUUGCCUCUUCAGCUCCCAAAUGAUAUAUAUAUUUUUAAAUUAUCUUUUUAUUUUUUGAGAUUACACUGUAAUUACGUUGUUUCUCCCUUCCUUUUCCUACCUCCAAACUCCCCACAUACCUUUGUGCUCUUUCAGAUUCGCAGUUGCAUUUUUUCAUUCAUUGUUGCUACAUAUACAUACAUGUAUAUGUAUACAUAUAUGAUAUGCAUAUGCACACGUAUGUACAUACAUCCUUCUAAAUAUGUAAAUACAACCUGCUCAGUCUGUAUAAAGUUAUGUUGCAUUCAUGGUUUUGGGGCUGACCAUUUGUUGUUGGAUAACCAAUUGGUGUGUUCUUCCUAAGGAAGACUAUUUCUCCUGUUUUCCACUUUCCUUAGCUGCCAUAGGGCCCAUUGAGGGCUCCUGUCCACAUUAGCAUGUCUAUUGCUGACCCUGAUCAGCUCCAGCUUAGGCAGUACAGUCCCAACUGAGACAGCUACAAAACAACUCCCUCGCCUGAGGCUCAGGGAUCACUGAGGAAAGGAAGGGAGGCAGAACCCUUUUAGAGCCAGAGGAUCAAGGAGUCCGCUGUGUGACUGUGUCUCCUAGGACUGUCAAAAGCUACUCCCAGAAAGUCUCACCUACAUGAUGCCUAAUGAUGUUUUCAAACCAAAACGAAGGUGGAGGGAGCCUGCUGGAGAAGGAGAUUGCUCAGUGGUUAAAGCAAUAACUGUGCAAACUGAGGAUCCGUGUUCAGACGCCAGCACCAUAGAAAAAGGUGUGGGAUAUAGGCUUCUCCAGAUUGUCCAUAGCCGCGGACUGUGAUUUGCCUCGUGCUCUAGCAGGGGUAUGGGUUUUGCCAGCUACUGAUUGUGACAUUUGGAAUUCUGGGAACUCUUGAGAGGGUAUACAUUCGAGAGCGCCAAGAGGGCCUACGGAGCUUGCUGCCCCCCUGCCAUUGCUGGUUUCUAUUGCUGCUGUUUGUCAAGUGGUCAUGAGCAAAGAGACAACAAGAGGAAAUUGGGUAUCCUGAUGACGAUGGUUACACUUGCCUGUAAUCAACAGGAAGCAGUCUAACGAGAUCUAAGCCCCUUUCUCCCUCUAGCCUUUCUCACCUACCUGGUGUUGGAAAUUGGAAGGGAUCCGGAUGGAGAAGGGUGGUAGAUCUAAGAAUACAAUGAGUACGCCUACAUAGCACCUGUCAGGGAACCCCAAGCAUGACGUGGACGGCCUUUGAUUGUAAUCUGAUGACGGAAAACCACCAGGAACCUCCAGAGCAUACACAAGAUGUUUAAAAUGGCCAUGCCCUUUCCCUGCGACUGGGGUUUCAGGGGAGAUCUCUAGACAUCAGUUGGCUUCCACUAGGGAAGAGAGACAGACCUUGAGCAGUUGGUAAUUGUGCGGCAUUCUUGCACCUUUGCUGGCAGACGCUUCCACUGGGUUUUUGUGUGCCUUCCUCUUCCCCUGUUCUCAAGCUUGCUCUCCUGCCUUAAUCUAAGGCUCCUAUGCAAUCUUCAUCUCAUCUCCUCUGCAAAGCUUACUUAACAACACUUUAGCAUCUUUGGCACACAGAGGUUGCAUGUGACAUUCUUUUGGACAACAGGGUAGUGAAGAAACGCCAGCAGCCUUUGCCGCCCUGUCCCCUCUGUGUCCCAGCAGAGGACCGGAUGGCUCAAGUUGGUGCAGCUCUUUUCAACCAUAAUGCGUCAAGCAUUGGAGUGUCUGUGGGAACGUCUGAGAUACUGGUCGUGAUGCAUCUGAGUCAGUCCUGUCAGGCGAGAACCAUCCACCCCGACCUACUUUAGCCACUGGGAAAUACUUUUUAUUAGUUACAGCCAAAUCUUUUCAGACACAAAAUAGAACAUAAAUCGCUUUUCACACCACUACAUCUACUCUUCUGUGACACCCUUUUAGUAUCUACAUUGAUAGCACUCUCCAAGGGACUUAAUUACAAUUCAACUUGUGGUCUAUAUGACUUUUUCCAUUGUAUCCUCUUAGCAAAGGAUGGAAAUUUUUUUCAUACACAAAAAUUUGUAUAUAUAUCCAUAAUUGUUUUCUUAGGAUAAACUACUGCAGAUAGAAUUUCUUAGCUAAAGGGUUUAAAUCCCGUUUAGACCAAUGACAGUAUCCUCAUACAGGGAAAGGCUUUUUUUUUUUUUUCUUCCAAUUUAAAUUAAAAAAAAAAAAAUGGCUAACGCCAAAACUUUGUUAUGAUUUAUUUCUUGUUUCUGUUUCUUUGGUUCCUUUUACAACUAGUUUGCUGGCUCGACUUGUGACAGAUGAGUCAGGAUGUGGCUUUUGCGGGACAGACAGCCAACUUCCAUAUUCUCAUUCCUUUCUAAACAAUGGAGCCCUGCCUACCAAGGCAUCCCUCUCUAAUUUGCACACAUUGUUUUUUGGGUUUUAUUUUAUUUUAUUUUAUUAUUUUUUUGUAGCCCUGUAGCCUAGCCUGGUUUCCACAGAAGAUCCCUCAAACAAAAAUCCACACAGAACAUCAGUGCAAUCUGGGAGAACACCUAAACCCAAACCAAUGGAAAAUGGACCCCAGAGAGACAAGCUGAUCUCUGGGAAGAAUUUUAAAGGGAUGGAGAGGAAGAAGAGAGGAAAGGAGGAAAGACAGCCACCAAGACCCCCUCUAAAUACUGGACACUUGGGCUUCCAUCUAACCAAGGAGCUUCGCCUGCAUGUCUUGUCUGUGCACCACAUGUGUGCCCGGGACCCACAGAAGCCAGAAGAGGGGGUUGCAAGCCCCGGGAUGGAGUUACAGACUUGUGUGAGCUACCGUGUGCAUGCCGAGCAUCCUCUGAAAGAACAGCCAAUGGAAAUACACAGAACACAGACACAGACCAUGGACGGGGACAGACUGUUGCCAUUCCCCGGGCUGACGGCUGUAUGCCACUUUCUUGUUGCUGACCCGAGGGAGUAGGAGGGCUUUCCAGUUAGCCUCUUGAAAACACACAGAGAGCGAGCAAAGCCUUCCAUCCCUGUGGGAAGGCUUGGAAACCAAGCAACUGUGAGGAAACACAGACUCCAGCCAGUAACAAGCCAGGUCCUGAGAACACCUCUGGCUGACACGGGGUUACUCCGCCCCUCACUCGUCUGGUUACAUAAUUUCCUUGUUCCAUUCUUUUGAGACCCUUGACAAAGCCUUGCUUUCUGUUUGGCCCCUGCUUCUUCCUUGGCCUCACAUUAACAGAGGAGGAGCACUCACUACUUAGGACUAGCGAGAAGUCACAUUUGGUAAAGCGGUGGCUAGCUGGGGAGUCUCUGGGGAAGCAGGGAGGGGGAAGGGGGGUGUUGGGCACCCUGAGCCCAGCUAGUGAUAAAUGUACACGUGCAACCGGUACUUGCUGGAGCACAGCGCCCAAGAGGCAGCAAGAAAUAAACUAACAUGUUAAUGAAUUGGAACUAAGGGAGCUGGAAGCUUCCCGAAGGCUGGCAUCUUGACCACUCAGGCAGUGUCCCGUGAACAACCUUGGACUGAAGCAAAAUGCAGCAUGAGAACAAGCCCUGAGAUCCGUUACCGUAACAACCCGUUCUCCUCUCUUCACAUCCGUCCUUUGUUGAGUUCCUUUCCCCAGCUGCAGUCCAUGGCCGACAGCAACUUGAUACAGCCAUGUCUCUACACGCAGCAGACUUCACCCCACACUGCUCGUCUCCCUGAGCUCUCUCUGCCUCUAGGCAUCAGAAGGCCCUCUUGCCUUCAUCUGCAAGGCUGCUGGAGUGUACUCCCCUGCUUGACUGACUCCUACCUCUGGUACACAUGUAACUAUGACUUAUGCCCAGAAGCCUGCCGUCUGUCUCAGGGCUCGUCGGGUUUCUUUUUCUUAGGAUCUGUCUGUCGUCCAUCCCACUGAAAGCUGGUUCCUUUUUUUUUUUUCUUUUUCUUUUCUUUUCUUUUUCUUAAUUUUUUUUUUUUUUUUGGCCUAAUGAAUUUGGUGUUCCUUGAGCCUCAGUUUCUGCACCUGUAAAGGGGGAGAGUAGUAACACCCAUCCAUCCAUUACUGCAUGCCGCAUGAAGUGGCUGUGCCACUUAAUCUCAUCAGUUUGGUUGGAUUGAGCAGUGCCUACAUUAAUAUGGUAUAUCUCUACGGGGGUGUUUCCAGCGAGCAUUGAUUAAGGCAGGGAGAGACAUUCUGCGUGUACGUGACAUCAUCCCAUAGGCAGGGAUCUGUACCGAAUACGGUACAGGAAGGUCAAGCCUACUAGCUCAGGCUUUCUCUUCCUUUCUGGUUCCCCUCUGCUGGGAUGACUAACACUGUCCCAGCCACGAUGCACUGAGGCCUCAGGAACCAUAAGGCAAGAUAAACCUUUCCUCCUUUAAGGUGAUGUGCUCAGACAUGUGUGUGUGUGUAUGUGUGUGUGUGUGUACAUGUACAUUGAUUGAACUUGUGUGUGUGCAUGUGUACAUACAGGUUCAGGUAUGUGCAUGUCCACAUGGAGGCCACAGACAGACACUGAGUAUCUUUCCUUUAUUGUUAUCCAUACAUCUUAUCUAUCUAUCUAUCUAUCUAUCUAUCUAUCUAUCUAUCUAUCUACAGACAGAAUGGC